CCUACGGGCGACUGCAGUGGGGAAUAUUGGACAAUGGGGGGAACCCUGAUCCAGCCAUGCCGCGUGUGUGAAGAAGGCCCUCGGGUUGUAAAGCACUUUCAGUGAGGAAGAACGCCUGGUGGUUAAUACCCAUCAGGAAAGACAUCACUCACAGAAGAAGCACCGGCUAACUCCGUGCCAGCAGCCGCGGUAAUACGGAGGGUGCGAGCGUUAAUCGGAAUUACUGGGCGUAAAGCGCGCGUAGGUGGCUUGAUAAGCCGGUUGUGAAAGCCCCGGGCUCAACCUGGGAACGGCAUCCGGAACUGUCAAGCUAGAGUGCAGGAGAGGAAGGUAGAAUUCCCGGUGUAGCGGUGAAAUGCGUAGAGAUCGGGAGGAAUACCAGUGGCGAAGGCGGCCUUCUGGACUGACACUGACACUGAGGUGCGAAAGCGUGGGUAGCAAACAGGAUUAGAUACCCUUGUAGUC
rnacentral:rRNA from 1 species